UGAAUACGAGAUGCUACGGCGUCGAAGCAGUCUAUGUCAUACUUCCAAGAAAAGCUUGCACUGUCAUAAACAAAUAAUGCCUGUACCAUAACCGACACAGGUGGGUAGGUAGAGUAUACUAAGGGGCGCGAGAUAACUCUCUCUAAGGAACUCGGCAAAAUGACUCCGUAACUUCGGGAGAAGGAGUGCCUUAUUUAUAAGGUUGCAAUAACAAGAUCCAAGCAACUGUUUACCAAAAACACAGGUCUCCGCUAAGUCGUAAGACGAUGUAUGGGGGCUGACGCCUGCCCAGUGCCAGAAGGUUAAAGAAGUUGGUUAGCAUCCGCGAAGCUGAUAACUGAAGCCCUGGUGAACGGCGGCCGUAACAAUAACGGUCCUAAGGUAGCGAAAUUCCUUGUCGGGUAAGUUCCGACCCGCACGAAAGGCGUAAUGAUUUGGAUACUGUCUCGGAGAGGGGCUCGGUGAAAUAGACUUGUCUGUGAAGAUGCGGACUACCUGCACCAGGACAGAAAGACCCUAUGAAGCUUUACUGUAACCUGAAAUUGAAAUUGGACUUUACUUGCGCAGUAUAGGUGGGAGGCGUUGAGAAUAUUCUUGCGGGAUUAUUGGAGCCAUCAGUGAGAUACCACUCUUGUAAUGUUAGAUUUCUAACUUUGUAUCAUUAUCUGGCCAAAGAACAGUUUCAGGCGGGCAGUUUGACUGGGGCGGUCGCCUCCUAAACGGUAACGGAGGCGCACAAAGGUUUCCUCUGAACGGGUAGAAAUCGUAUCUAGAGUGUAAAGGCAUAAGGAAGCUUGACUGUGAGACCUACAAGUCGAGCAGGGACGAAAGUCGGUCUUAGUGAUCUGACGGUGCUGAGUGGAAAGGCCGUCACUCAACGGAUAAAAGUUACUCUAAGGAUAACAGGCUGAUCUCCCCCAAGAGUUCACAUCGACGGGGAGGUUUGGCACCUCGAUGUCGGCUCAUCGCAUCCUGGGGCGGUAGUACGUCCCAAGGGUUGGGCUGUUCGCCCAUGAAAGCGGUACGCGAGCUGGGUUCAGAACGUCGUGAGACAGUUCGGUCCAUAUCCGGUGUAGGCGUUAGAAUAUUGAGAGGAGCCUUCUUUAGUACGAGAGGACCGAGAAGGACAUACCUCUGGUGUACCAGUUAUCGUGCCAACGGUAAACGCUGGGUAGCUAUGUGUGGAGUGGAUAACCGCUGAAAGCAUCUAAGUGGGAAGCCCACCUCAAGAUAAG
rnacentral:rRNA from 1 species